rnacentral:rRNA from 1 species
AGGAUAAACGCUGGCGGCGUGCCUAACACAUGCAAGUCGAACGUCCUUGCGGUCUUCUUCUUCGGAGGAGGACCGCGAGGGAGUGGCGGACGGGUGAGUAACACAUGGGUACCUGCCUUUCAGUGAGGAAUACCGGCGAGAAUCGCCGACAAGACCGCAUAGCCUCGGUGCAAGUCGAGGAAAGCUUUCUCGCGAGAGGGAGCGGCCACACGAGGAGCCUGCGCCCGAUUAGCUAGCUGGUGGAGUAACGGUUCACCAGGGCGACGAUCGGUAGCUGGUCUGAGAGGACGAUCAGCCACACUGGGAUUGAGAACGGCCCAGACUCCUACGGGGGGCAGCAGUGAGGAAUUUUCGUCAAUGGGGGCAACCCUGAACGAGCAACGCCGCGUGCAGGAAGAAGGUUUUCGGAUCGUAAACUGCUUUUCUCGGGGAAGAGAACGGACGGUACCCGAGGAAGAAGCCCCGGCUAACUACGUGCCAGCAGCCGCGGUAA